rnacentral:rRNA from 1 species
UACGGGGGAUGCAAGCGUUAUCCGGAAUCAUUGGGCGUAAAGCGCCUGUAGGUUGUUUAAUAAGUCUGUUGUUAAAGACUAGGGCUCAACCCUAGAAAAGCAAUGGAAACUACUAGACUAGAGUAUGGCAGGGGUAGAGGGAAUUUCUAGUGUAGCGGUGAAAUGCGUAGAUAUUAGAAAGAACACCAGUGGCGAAAGCGCUCUACUGGACCAUUACUGACACUCAGAGGCGAAAGCUAGGGUAGCAAAAGGGAUUAGAUACCCCUGUAGUCCUAGCCGUAAACGAUGGAUACUAGAUGUUGUACGUCAUGUACAGUAUCGUAGCUAACGCGUUAAGUAUCCCGCCUGGGGAGUACGCUCGCAAGGGUG